rnacentral:misc_RNA from 1 species
CGGUCUUGCACUUGGUCUUUGAUUUAUUUUUGCUUUUCCUUCUUUUCUCUCUUUUUGAUAACCUUUCAAGAGUAUACAUAUCUUAUAUUUACAAGUGCUAGUUUUUAACAGCAGCUAGUUAAUUAUCAAGUGGUUGAAAGUUUGUCAAUUGAAUUCUACUUAUGUCUCUGCCUAAAUGCAUCCUGAUCCAAGCACGAGUUGAUAGAAUCAUAGAAGCACAGGAUGUCUUCUGUCACUUUUUCGCAAAAGAAAUUUAUACCAGUACCUCCUGAAAAGGGUAGCUUUCCUCUGGAUCACGAAGGUCUCUGUCGCAAUCUUAUGGUCAAGUACAUGCGCUGUCUUUAUGAAAAUAAGAACGUUUCCUCCAACUGCAGAGAUAUAAGUAAAGAUUAUCUUGCGUGUCGUAUGGAAAAUGGAUUAAUGGCCCAAGAAGACUGGACAAAGCUCGGAUUCAACGAACAAGAAAUUGAAAAACAAAAGGAGCAAUGAGAAAGGUUUUCCGUCUUCGUCGUAGAGUGGAUUACCUGGAAUUGGCCUCAGCUGCAGAACAAAGAAAUUCUUCAAAAACCAUUAUCCUGGGUUCUCUUUGAUGUAUCAACGACGAGACGAGCACACACGUUUCAAUCCUAACGGAUCCUGAACAGAUUAAGUUACGCGAUCUCGUGUUUUAUAUGAAUAUAUACAAACAAUAUAUAUUUACAUACAAAAAUAUAUAUAUACAUUAAAUAGAGGAAAAUAUCAGUAAUAUUAAAAUAAAUAUAUGUAUACAAACAGAUAAAAUUAUAUGUAUACAAACGUUAAUGGGGUGUGUGUCGUUGAAAACGGCUUGAAAGCUCGUGCUAGCCACGGUUUAAAAAACUGAAUUUUCGAUAAAAUUAACAUAUCAUUUAAAAAAAAAAACUAAAGUUUACAAUAACUCACGCUUGAAACAAAAACUACAGUCUAACCGAUACGUUAUUAUUGUUAAAAUCCAUCGCAUAAUUCAUGUAUAAAAGCUUCAGCCAAGAAAAAUAAAUCAUUUACAUAAAUUGAAAAAACAAUACUCAUAGCUUUCGCAUAUUUCUCCUGCUGUCGUGAGUAGCGUUGGGAUUUCAAUUAAAACCUUAAAAAAAAAAAAAAAAAAAAAAAAAAAA